UUUUUGUUUUAAGAACAUUUAUAUAAAUGUUUUUUUACAAAAUUAGAAUUAGGGCUCUUUUUGCAAAUAGCCUCCUGACAAAUUUUUUUUUUAAAUUAGCCUUGUCAAAAAUUUAUUUGCAAAAAUGGUCCUGAUCCUGCCACACAAGCGCCACGUCAGCGUCACACGGGCGGGGCUGGAGCCAGGUGUUUAAGUUGAACACGGUGAACCGUUCACCGUGUUUAAAUACCGUGUUUGAGCACUGACUCAUUUACCGUGUUUGAACACCGGCUCAAUAACCGGCUCAUUCACCGUGUUCAACUUAAACACCUGGCUCCAGCCCCGCUCGCGUGGCGUUGACGUGGCGCUUGUGUGACAAAGCUAGAGCCAUUUUUACAAAUAAAUUUUUAAAAUUUAAAAAAAAAAAUUAUAAAGGGGCUAUUUGCAAAAAC
rnacentral:lncRNA from 1 species